rnacentral:rRNA from 1 species
GAUGAACGCUGGCGGCGUGCCUAAUACAUGCAAGUCGAGCGAACAGACGAGGAGCUUGCUCCUCUGACGUUAGCGGCGGACGGGUGAGUAACACGUGGAUAACCUACUUAUAUUACUGGGAUAACUUCGGGAAACCGGUGCUAAUACCGCAUAACAUGUUGUACCGCAUGGUUCAACAGUGAAACACGGUUUUGCUGUCUCUUAUAGAUGGAUCCGCGUCGCAUUAGCUAGUUGGUAAGGUAACGGCUUACCAAGGCAACGAUCCGUAGCCGACCUGAGAGGGUGAUCGGCCACACUGGAACUGAGACACGGUCCAGACUCCUACGGGAGGCAGCAGUAGGGAAUCUUCCGCAAUGGGCGAAAGCCUGACGGAGCAACGCCGCGUGAGUGAAGAAGGUCUUCGGAUCGUAAAGCUCUGUUAUUAGGGAAGAACAGAUGUGUAAGUAACUAUGGACGUCUUGACGGUACCUAAUCAGAAAGCAACGGCUAACUACGUG